rnacentral:rRNA from 1 species
GAUGAACGCUGACAGAAUGCUUAACACAUGCAAGUCCACUUGAAUUUGGGUUUUUAACUUAGGUUUGGGUGGCGGACGGGUGAGUAACGCGUAAAGAACUUGCCUCACAGCUAGGGACAACAUUUGGAAACGAAUGCUAAUACCUAAUAUUAUGAUAAUAGGGCAUCCUAUAAUUAUGAAAGCUAUAAGCGCUGUGAGAGAGCUUUGCGUCCCAUUAGCUAGUUGGAGAGGUAACGGCUCACCAAGGCGAUGAUGGGUAGCCGGCCUGAGAGGGUGAUCGGCCACAAGGGGACUGAGACACGGCCCUUACGCCUACGGGAGGCAGCAGUGGGGAAUAUUGGACAAUGGACCGAGAGUCUGAUCCAGCAAUUCUGUGUGCACGAUGAAGUUUUUCGGAAUGUAAAGUGCUUUCAGUUGGGAAGAAACAAAUGACGGUACCAACAGAAGAAGUGACGGCUAAAUACGUG